GACGAACGCUGGCGGCGUGCUUAACACAUGCAAGUCGAACGAUGAAGCCGGAGCUUGCUCUGGUGAAUUAGUGGCGAACGGGUGAGUAACACGUGAGUAACCUGCCCUUGACUCUGGGAUAACUGCGGGAAACUGUAGCUAAUACCGGAUACGACCCUCGGAGGCAUCUCCUGGGGGUGGAAAGAAUUUCGGUCAAGGAUGGACUCGCGGCAUAUCAGCUAGUUGGUGAGGUAAAGGCUCACCAAGGCGACGACGGGUAGCCGGCCUGAGAGGGUAACCGGCCACACUGGGACUGAGACACGGCCCAGACUCCUACGGGAGGCAGCAGUGGGGAAUAUUGCACAAUGGGCGCACGCCUGAUGCAGCAACGCCGCGUGGGGGAUGACGGCCUUCGGGUUGUAAACCUCUUUUAGCAGGGAAGAAGCGAAAGUGACGGUACCUGCAGAAAAAGCACCGGCUAACUACGUGCCAGCAGCCGCGGUAA
rnacentral:rRNA from 1 species